rnacentral:rRNA from 1 species
ACGCUCGACACCUACGGGAGACAGCAGUGGGGAAUAUUGCACAAUGGGGGAAACCCUGAUGCAGCGACGCCGCGUGAGCGAAGAAGUAUUUCGGUAUGUAAAGCUCUAUCAGCAGGGAAGAAAGUGACGGUACCUGACUAAGAAGCACCGGCUAAAUACGUGUCAGCAGCCGCGGUAAUCUGAGCGGGCUGGCAAGGC